rnacentral:rRNA from 1 species
ACGCACGCUGGCGGCGUGCCUCAUACAUGCAAGUAGAACGCACAGUUUAUACCGUAGCUUGCUACACCAUAGACUGUGAGUUGCGAACGGGUGAGUAACGCGUAGGUAACCUGCCUGGUAGCGGGGGAUAACUAUUGGAAACGAUAGCUAAUACCGCAUAAUAUUGAUUAUUGCAUGAUAAUUGAUUGAAAGAUGCUAUUGCAUCACUACCAGAUGGACCUGCGUUGUAUUAGCUAGUAGGUGAGGUAACGGCUCACCUAGGCGACGAUACAUAGCCGACCUGAGAGGGUGAUCGGCCACACUGGGACUGAGACACGGCCCAGACUCCUACGGGAGGCAGCAGUAGGGAAUCUUCGGCAAUGGACGAAAGUCUGACCGAGCAACGCCGCGUGAGUGAAGAAGGUUUUCGGAUCGUAAAGCUCUGUUGUAAGAGAAGAACGGGUGUGAGAGUGGAAAGUUCACACUGUGACGGUAUCUUACCAGAAAGGGACGGCUAACUACGUG